rfam:Ipomoea nil DNA, scaffold: scaffold0276, cultivar: Tokyo-kokei standard.
GGGUGUUUGGUCUAGUGGUAUGAUUCUUGCUUUGGGUGCGAGAGGUCGUGAGUUUGAUUCUUGCAACACCCC